rnacentral:lncRNA from 1 species
CGUCUUCUUAUUGAUGAUCUUUCUUUACGGCACCGUAAUCCUCAACCAAAAUAAUCUUUGUCUUCGGACGUCGCCACAUCCUUCAGAUGUCAAUGUGUUCUCCAGGACGUUCGUCACUGUACUUCCGGAAGGACACUUUCGUCCCCCCCGGAAUCACUCACUGUCACGAACACUGUCACUACACUAAUUAAACUAUUAAUAACGUUUGGAUAAUAAACCUUUCGCGUCCGCGCACACGUACGCUAUUUAUUCCCGCCCGACUGCGAUGUAUCUUUUCGCGAUUUCGUCCAGACACGUAUUCAAAAUUACACGAAAAGCUGUAGAUCCUCGCGUGUCGAUUACAGACUACACUCGUUAAUGACAGGACCUUGCGUCCGCGUUAAUUAAGCGUUCGAACACUACUAACCUCGCAACGACGACGCAAUAUACUGAUCGAGAGUGACGCGAUCCAUUCGUCUUGAGCGCCCGAAUCUAACUGGAGGACAUUUUUCUUCGCCUUAGCAUAUAGCCGCUUUUCGCCAGGCGACGAAUUCCCGAUUUCUGAUUGGCUGGAGCCUCUUGUCCGGCCAUGGCCGACUUGGCCACGGUCUUACAUAUAGGUCUGGAAACUCCUCCAAAUUUUGAUGGUGGGGGUAGUUCCCUUAUUGAAGCCAAAUAGUUUGUAGCCCGGCCACGGCGCUGUCGUCUAACUCGCAGUAAACAUAGUCUGAAAACUGCAAAACCGUGAGAUAAUAAAUUGUUGACAAAAUUCGCAAGUGACAAACUUAUUGAAAAAUGAGAUGUGUGGUACCGAAUUAUAAAAGCGGCAGCAGAACCGAGCAGAAACGUUCUCUAUUUCGAGUGCCGAAAGAUAUUGUUACGUGGAAGAAGUGGGAAAAAGCUAUUCCGGGUACUGUAAAGUUGAAUCAGACAGAUACUGUGUAUGAAAACCAUUUUAACGAGGAAGACAUUGUUCGUGAAUGGAUAAAGAUUCGACGCAAAUGGUCAAGAAAUUGCACGGGUCGCAUACAAGCGUCAGAGGCUCAAGCAGUUCGCUGUGCCCACAAAAUUCAAUGACGUUCCAACAGGAAAGGAAAAUUAUGAGCCACUGGAUGAAAAUAUGAAGCGAAUUUCGAAUUCUCAAAUAAAUUCUCCAGGCAUUAUCCAGUCCUCAGUUGGUGUCAUGAAACCUUCAAUUCAAGAAAACAGUAUAGUCGAAGCACUCAUCGGUUAUUUAUGCAAGCAAGUCCUUAAAAAAUAUAAAUCCUGCUCAGUGUGUGAAGAAGCCGUGAGAUUGAAAACCAGCUGCGGAUCUUCGGAGUCACAACUGGUUGAAAUGAAAUCACGCGGUGGUCUUAUUCACGCUAAUCUCCAUUUCUUUCAUUUAAUCCGCUAUAUAGAAGCAUCGUUUGCAAAAUAUUCCUCUCGUGUUGACCUUUUCGAUGUAACUCUCGAUAAAGUACUUGAUUUUUAUACCUUCACGUUUCCCUGUAAAGAACAUGCAUCUGAAAUCCUGUCUUAUGCUAUAGUUUAUUAUUUAAGAUUAAGAAUGAGGCAAACUGUUCACCAGAAAAAUUUAAAAUUAAAAAAGAAACUUGUUGU